rnacentral:rRNA from 1 species
GACGAACGCUGGCGGCGUGCUUAACACAUGCAAGUCGAACGGAAAGGCCUGCUUUCCCUUGUGGAUUGCGGGUACUCGCGUGGCGAACGGGUGAGUAACACGUGAGUGAUCUGCCCCCAACUUGGGUAUAAGCCUGGGAAACUGGGUCUAAUUCCCGAUAGGACUGCAGGGUGGUGCCUGUGGUGGAAAACGAUUUUCUAGUGGUUGGGGAUGAGCUCGCGGCCUAUCAGCUUGUUGGUGGGGUAAUGGCCUACCAAGGCGGCGACGGGUAGCCGGCCUGAGAGGGUGGACGGCCACAUUGGGACUGAGAUACGGCCCAGACUCCUACGGGAGGCAGCAGUGGGGAAUAUUGCACAAGGGGCGGAAGCCUGAUGCAGCGACGCCGCGUGGGGGAUGACGGCCUUCGGGUUGUAAACUCCUUUCGACCGCGAGGAAGCCACCUGGUUGGAAGGGUGGUGACGGUAGUGGUAGAAGAAGCACCGGCUAACUACGUG